UGGAAGUAAAAGUCGUAACAAGGUCUCCGUUGGUGAACCAGCGGAGGGAUCAUUACCGAGUUUACAACUCCCAAACCCAAUGUGAACGUUACCAAACUGUUGCCUCGGCGGGAUCUCUGCCCCGGGUGCGUCGCAGCCCCGGACCAAGGCGCCCGCCGGAGGACCAACCAAAACUCUUAUUGUAUACCCCCUCGCGGGUUUUUUUAUAAUCUGAGCCUUCUCGGCGCCUCUCGUAGGCGUUUCGAAAAUGAAUCAAAACUUUCAACAACGGAUCUCUUGGUUCUGGCAUCGAUGAAGAACGCAGCGAAAUGCGAUAAGUAAUGUGAAUUGCAGAAUUCAGUGAAUCAUCGAAUCUUUGAACGCACAUUGCGCCCGCCAGUAUUCUGGCGGGCAUGCCUGUCCGAGCGUCAUUUCAACCCUCGAACCCCUCCGGGGGGUCGGCGUUGGGGAUCGGCCCUCCCUUAGCGGGUGGCCGUCUCCGAAAUACAGUGGCGGUCUCGCCGCAGCCUCUCCUGCGCAGUAGUUUGCACACUCGCAUCGGGAGCGCGGCGCGUCCACAGCCGUUAAACACCCAACUUUCUGAAAUGUUGACCUCGGAUCAGGUAGGAAUACCCGCUGAACUUAAGCAUAUCAAUAAGCGGAGG
rnacentral:rRNA from 1 species